UUUAGCUCAGCGGCAUAAGCACAGGCCUUGCAAGCCUGGGGUCAUGAGUUUGAUCCUCAGUAA
rnacentral:tRNA from 1 species